AGGCGAUUGGCUCAAUUGGUAGAGCAGCGGACUCCAAAUCCGCAGGUUGAGGGUUCGAGUCCUUCAUCGCCUGCCA
rnacentral:tRNA from 1 species